CACUAUCGUUAACUGAAUACAUAGGUUAACGAGGCGAACCGGGGGAACUGAAACAUCUAAGUACCCCGAGGAAAAGAAAUCAACCGAGAUUCCCCCAGUAGCGGCGAGCGAACGGGGAGCAGCCCAGAGUCUGAAUCAGCUUGUGUGUUAGUGGAACGGUCUGGAAAGUCCGACGGUACAGGGUGAUAGUCCCGUACACCAAAAUGCACAGGUUGUGAACUCGAAGAGUAGGGCGGGACACGUGGUAUCCUGUCUGAAUAUGGGGGGACCAUCCUCCAAGGCUAAAUACUCCUGACUGACCGAUAGUGAACCAGUACCGUGAGGGAAAGGCGAAAAGAACCCCGGCGAGGGGAGUGAAAAAGAACCUGAAACCGUGUACGUACAAGCAGUGGGAGCACCUUCGGGUGUGACUGCGUACCUUUUGUAUAAUGGGUCAGCGACUUAUAUUCUGUAGCAAGGUUAACCGUAUAGGGGAGCCGCAGGGAAACCGAGUCUUAACUGGGCGUUAAGUUGCAGGGUAUAGACCCGAAACCCGGUGAUCUAGCCAUGGGCAGGUUGAAGGUUGGGUAACACUAACUGGAGGACCGAACCGACUAAUGUUGAAAAAUUAGCGGAUGACUUGUGGCUGGGGGUGAAAGGCCAAUCAAACCGGGAGAUAGCUGGUUCUCCCCGAAAGCUAUUUAGGUAGCGCCUCGUGAA
rnacentral:rRNA from 5 species